ACUUCUGGCAGUCUUAACAUCUCUAGCAGUGACCCCAGACCUGUCCUGGCUCCAGACCUUUUAUGGAAUCCCCAGCAUCGUUGUGAAAUAUGUUUCUGCUGUGAUACCUGACAAGUUUUAUGAUCAGAUAACGAGCUGGAUUUAAAAGUGCCUCCUGCGAAAGUGAUUAAAGGAGAAGCAGCUCCAGCUACGCUUGGAAAAGCUAUUUAGCUUGCUUAUUGGGGAAAUGUCUUCCCACCUACUUACUACCAUUUUAUAACACUGCAGCAUAUGGGAUCAAAGACUAGAACUGCCACCUCCUGUUUACAACGGGCUGGAGCAGUCA